CAACCUCUGCAUGUUUUCCGAGCCAUUAGUAAACAUCCAAUAACGAAGUUGGCCACUGAUACUGGAUUGAAAGAGAUAGGUGUUCCAUCGUAUAAAGGCUUAUCGAGGUUCAGGCCAAUGUACAGACUGAGUCUCAAUUUCAACUUGUUCUUGGAGGUAGCUUAAGUUUUGUCGACGAGUUUACUUCGGGAGGGAGAAAUGUAUUCAGAAUCAACGCUAAAUAAUCAAGCUGUUGCUACCAGAAGGGCACAACGCUAUGAAAUUCAUCGAAAGGUGGUAAGCACAUAAAUGGAGCAAGGAGGUCUUAUACGAAAAUGGUACACGAAUGAUGUAAACUAUCAAAUAGCGGAAACUGAAGUGUUGCGGAGUGGCAAUCAGAGGGUUAUAUAUCGGGUCCUUAAAGGUAAAAGCGUAUUGUCGUAGUCGAACAAGAUUUUCACUUAGAGCUUGGAGUCUAAAACGUGUUACGGAAUUCUAAUCCAUAUUCUGAAAACAUUGAAAUUGAGCAAAAAUGGAUUCCCUAUAAAUUGACUUCAGGUCAGUUGUAAAAGUCCAUGGUUUAUAACACAUAAAAUCUGCAGAACUUUAAUAAACAAAAAACCCGCCUGGAGCGUACGAUCGACGAGCCGCGGCUGGAUGUCUACCGCCAGUCAAAAAGGAUCUAGGCGAAUAAAUGGCGUCGCCCUGGAGAGAAAUCCAGGUUGGUGGCAACGUCAAAUAGUUCGGAGCAAUGUCGGGCGUAGAGUAACGAUAGUACUUGCAAUGGAUAUCAGGGACGUCUGUUACGAUACUCGCCGAAACACAACAAAAAAUGAAACAAUGAAUACGGUCCGCUAUCUCGAGUUUUUCAAAGACCAUAUGCACUGUUGGCAUAGUAAUCGAAAACUUGCAGAUUACUUACGUCACGCCUCAAUUACUUCGUAAAUUGAGCGAAGGAAUAUCUAACGUGUGCUUCAUCCCUUUCAUACAUCUAAGU